CCUACGGGGGGCUGCAGUGGGGAAUAUUGGACAAUGGGCAAAAGCCUGAUCCAGCCAUGCCGCGUGUGUGAAGAAGGCCUUCGGGUUGUAAAGCACUUUCAGUGGGGAAGAAAGCCUUGGGGCUAAUACCCUCGAGGAAGGACAUCACCCACAGAAGAAGCACCGGCUAACUCCGUGCCAGCAGCCGCGGUAAUACGGAGGGUGCGAGCGUUAAUCGGAAUUACUGGGCGUAAAGCGCGCGUAGGCGGUCUGAUAAGCCGGUUGUGAAAGCCCCGGGCUCAACCUGGGAACGGCAUCCGGAACUGUCAGGCUAGAGUGCAGGAGAGGAAGGUAGAAUUCCCGGUGUAGCGGUGAAAUGCGUAGAGAUCGGGAGGAAUACCAGUGGCGAAGGCGGCCUUCUGGACUGACACUGACGCUGAGGUGCGAAAGCGUGGGUAGCAAACAGGAUUAGAUACCCGGGUAGUC
rnacentral:rRNA from 1 species